rnacentral:lncRNA from 1 species
UCAUUCAAGCCAUUUCCAGCCUCCUCCUUGUCUUCCUUCUCACUACCUGCAUUAUCAUCAACUUUUUCUCCCUCAUUCUCUUAUUCCUGGAUUUUGUCAUCCUUCUCAUCCUCUUCAUCAUCACCAACUGAUUCCUUUUCUUCAAUAAUCUUUUUACCUUGCAUCCUUUCAUAUGCAUCAGCUAUCAUCUCCUUCUUGUCCUUAACAGCUUGUGUUAACAACUACUUUAAUGUUCUCCCGUCCUCAUCAAAACUUUCUUAAGC